UUCAGAACAAAUUAUAAAGCCCUCCGAUGGACACCAAGGUUGAUUCACUGAUCGGAGCUGCUAAAUAUUGAAAAUAUGAGUGCAAGAUUAAUAAUGGUUGUUGCUCUUGUGGUUGCUCUCGUUUGCGGAAUCAAAGGUGAAGGGAGUUAUAGUAGAAAAUUAUUUGGGGGUUUCUUAGGAUUCGGUCCAUUCGGAUUCCCUGGGGGCAUUUUUGGUUUCCCUGAAACAGAUACCAUUCAAAUUCCUCCUCCGCCGCCGCCGCCUUCACCGGAUAUAUUAUGCCAGGGUGAGCCACUUUUUGACGGAAAUCAAGAUUCUACUCAGAUUGAUCAAUCGAAUCAAUACCCAAUUGGCAUUGAUCAAACUCCAAUAAUCGAUGAAUCAAAUUCAUAUGACUAUAGUGAUGAUCCUAUAGAUUAAUCGAGAGAGAGGAAGAGACUCUCUACUACGUAGAUUAUAAGUUUUUUCUUUUUGGUUGCAAAAUAAGAGAACAAAAAUUAAAUUAUCUGUCCCUUCUCAUCUCCUCAUUAUUUUUCUCUGGCUAGCUUGUUUCAUUCACCCAUCUAGAUAAUUAUAUUCAUCUAAUAUAAUUCUACCCCAUUUGCAUUCCAGA